CAUCUCUACUUAACUUACCCAGCUGCAAGCUCAGCACUGUAUUUGGCUCCUUUCAAACCUUCUCAAGGGAUACCUUGACAGCUCACAGGGCCAGGGGGCUCCAAGGCCCAUUUUGCAGGGAAUGCCACGCGCUGUUUGUUUCUGAUCGGUCGAGAGACACAGACUUGAAAUGAGGGGCACAAACCUAAGACCUAGGAUCUGAGUUCGGUUCCCAGUCCAGAACCCACUAUGGACUCCUCACAUCACCUAUAAUGCCAGCUCCAAGGGAUCGAUGCUUCUGGCAUCCUUGAGUCCUUGUGUCUGAGCACUUGAAAGUCUGGGGCAGCAAAUGAGAGACUCUUUCCUCCCAAGCUGGCAUCUGAGGCAGCACACCUGUUGGGACUCUAGCCAUUCCAAUCGCCCUUUGAGCCCUGCUGAGAUAUCGCUGGCAUUCCAGACCAGCUGGCGCCGUCAUUUCUAACAAGCAAGACUUGGAUUCUAUAUGAGGGAUCCAGUACAGAAAGGGACGAGGUACACACUUGUCACCGUAUCUAAUGCACCACAGGAACCCUCCCAGCCCUGAACAAUGCUCAGAAUGCCGUGUAUGCACAGCCUCGGAAUGAAACUUCCCAAUCCCUUCUAUCCUGCCAGGACACCAGCUGACCUCAGCCACUGACGAUCACGAUGGCAGGUUGUGCUUCCUCUUAAGCAGUGACAUCAACCUCAUCAUAAACCCUGUUAUCAGAUCGAAGACCCUCUCUUCCUCUCAGCUUCAAAACAGUGACAGGAAAUGGAAAAGGGGAAAACACGUGGGAGCCUGAAGCCAGCCGCUAAGCCUCUAGCCGCACAGGAAGGAAAUGACACAGGACACCUGUGCAGCAGCAGGAGCCAGGCUGGCCCCACUCGGAUGUCAUGUAAACAGGGGCUGCACUGUGAUCUCAGACUGAGCAAUGUCCCCACCCACUCAGGCUAGUAACGUGGCUCCUAGAAGUUCCCAUCCGCACACCCUCUCCUCCUUCCAGAAGAUUCUCUUAGGACACAAGUGCUUGCCUUAUCCCUGGGAGUCAUGAACAAAUGGGACAUCAGCGACAGACCAGGGAAUAGUUCCACCCUUGUCCAGCCUGUGAAGCAGUGAGUUUGCUGGACUUACAACAGCUUGGGUGGGAGUUAUUCAAAGGCAGCCACAUCACUGGGAAGUCCCAUCCCGACAUGGGUUAGGACUCAUGAGAGCUACCUCCCGGGAGCUCUGAUUCCCUAACUCUCCAUCUCCCAUAGAAUCCAGCACUAUCAAACCAUGAGCAGCUGGGAGGCAGGAAGGAGUAAUGGUUGGGAUCCCGGAUGAGAUAUACUGAGCCGCCCCUUCUCCUAUUAGGAAGUGCUGUCAGUACCAUUGCCUGAGCCCUUGCAGUCUCUGUGAUUUUCUGCUUAAUUUCAUUGUAUGGCUGUGGGCCAUGCAUUUGUGGGGCGACAAGAGUAACCUUUACGCCAUGAUGGCUGAUGGUCAUGUCACACCUGGAGGAAAUUCCUUCACCCUACAGAAGCUGAAACACUAAAUCAGAGACUGAUGCUCAGGGUUUGCUUCUAAUUAAUUAAGCCAGUGGUCAAAUCAUGGACAAAUCAAAACAAGAUGCUGUUAAAUUAUUUGGGAUCUUUUCCGGCUAGAUCAUGGCCAAGGAGAACUGAGUCUGCUUGUGACUGCACUUGUGUUUUUCUAUAACAAAUUUGUUUUUAAUCUUGUUUUUAUUUUAGUUUUGAGUUCUUAAAUUACUUUUUCAAGAUAGGGUUUCCCUGUGUAGCCCUGGCUCUCCUGAAACUCACUCUGUAGACCAGGCUGGCCUCGAACUUGAGAUCCACCUGCCUCCCUAGUGCUGGGAUUCACAACCACUGCCCAGCUGAGUUCUCAAAAUUUUUUUUUGAGAUUUAUUUCUUGUGUAUGAGUGUUUUGCUUGCAUGUAUGUCUGUGCAGUGUGCACAUACAGUACCCGCAGAGACCAAGAGAGGGCAUUUGUUCUCCUGGAACUGGAGUUACAGAUGUGUGUGAGCCAUCAUGUGGGUGCUGGGGGUCAAACCCAGGUCCUCUGCAAGUGCAACAAGUGCUCUUAACCCAUGAGCCACAUCUUCAGCCCUGGUUUUGGGGGUUUGAGACAAGGUCUCUUGUAGCCUCAAGCUUAGUAUGUAGACAAGGAUAAUCUGGAAGUAGCUCCUGAUAGGCCUUUUUCUCCCAAGUGCUGGGAUUUAAGGUGUGUACCACCAUGCCCAAAUAAUAAACUUGUUUUGUUUUUAAAGGAAGACUAGAGGCCUGGAGAGAUUGCCCAGCGGUGAAGACCACUUGUUACCACUCUUCCGGAGGACUGAGGUUCAGCUCCCAGUACCCACGUGGUAACUUGAAACCAAAGGCAACUCCAGUUCCAGGGAAUCUAACGGCCUCUGCUGGCCUCCAAAGACACUAGGUAUGCAUAUAUGCAUGCAGAAUAGUCACACUCACACACACACGCACACACACACACACACACACACACACACACAAAGGUGGGUGUGUCUCAGUAAAGCGCAUGCACUAGGAUAUGCAUAUUUCCAAUCUCUAGCACCUGUUAAUCACACACUUUUGAGACAAAUCUGAAGCAAGCUUUAAUUAAACACUUGCCAGGAUGAUGGUUUCUGGCCAGGCCCAUUUCUGGGUUUCCAGAAAAUGGUGACAAGUCACAUUCUGCAGAGGCUUAUGAAGGCAAACCCAUAAGGCUAUGUAUUUCCUGCUAGGUGCAGUCAGGGGCAAGCAAACAUCCUGACGUACUUCCUGCCUACAUCUGUGAUCAAGCACAUCUGGUGCAAUCGGGUCAAACAAGCUUGUUCGGGGGAGAGAAAACUCGUGGCUUGUUAUCUUACAUAAACAAUAGCCUCCAGCAUCUCAGGAAGUAUCUGUCCUUGAGCAUUCGGCUUACAGGUUAGAAGCGUUUUUUUUGUUUUAUGGAUCUCUUAGGCACAGUAAUUAAAACUUGAAAAAAAAAUGAGAUUUGAAACUAGAGAGAUGCUCAAUAGUUAAAGGCACUCGUUCUUUUAGGGGGCCAGGGUUCAAUUCCCAGCACUCACUGGAGGGUAACUCCAGCAGCAGGGCAUUCAGUGUCCGAUUAUGGCCUUGGUGGACACCAGGGCACCAGACAAACAUACAAGCAAAACAUUUAUACACAUAAAAAUGAAGUAAAUGUAACAACAACAAGAAAAUAACAAUAAGAAAAUCUGGUUCAGUGGUUCUCUGGUCCCCAAAAUCCCUUUUCCCAAAGUCUGGCAUUUAGACAAAAGCCAGCAUCCCCUCAGGGACUUGAGAAAAUAAUUUCUACCUGCUGAAUCAUUCUUCUUACUUCUGGCUCUUCCAGUAACAAACGUCUGUGGUGUCUGUUAGCGUAACAAGGCCUAGCUUCCAGGCUCCGUCAGUCCCCGGUCACACUACAUUUUACACACUUCAAAGCCCUCCUUUCUGGUUCCCCUCCUCCCAGGGACCUGUUCCCUUAAAACCCUGAAAAUCCUUCCCCUGGAAAUACACACACACACACACACACACACUUUACUGAGAGACAGCCUUGGCAGUUUGGAAUAAACUUUUCCUUUUGAAGACACAGGGAAGCUAUUUUGGUUUCCUUACUGUGCCCAUUUUAGAGGUGAGAACCUGAAGCCCGAGCAAUGUGGAGGUAGAGACAGGAGGAUCCCUGAGGCUCACUCUGGGUUCAGGGAGAGGCCGUCUCAAAUACUAAGGUGAAGGGCUGCAGAGAAUGCUCAGUGGUUAAGAGCUCUUGUUGCUCUUGGGGGUGCGGGUAGGGGAGGUGGACCUGAGUUUGAUUCCCAGCGCUCAUUUGGCAGUCCAGGGUCAUCCACAGUUCCGGGUCUGAUGCUCUGUUCUGACCGCCUUGGCACCAUAACACACACAUGGUACAAAAUACAACAUAAAAUGAAAUUAAUAAGUCUUUUUUAAGAUUGGAAAAAGAAAGUGGAGCUUGCCAGAGGAAGAAACCCAAUCCUGCUGUCUGGCCUCCACACAUGCAUACUUGUGCUCUCUCACACUCAGACAUGCACACACGUAAACACAUGAACACUUAUACACACUCACCAAAAAAGUAAAAUAAAAAAGAAGGCUCGUAUCUCUCUCUCUCUCUUUUGUUUUCUUUCUAUUUAUUGCUUUCACUUUAUGUGUGUGGGUAUUUUGCCUGCAUGACUGUCUGCACGUCACGUUCGUGCAUGUGUGCACCAAGUCCAUGCAUCUGUGUGUGAAGCAUCCUCCAGUCUCUAUCUGCUGCAAGGGCCCUCCUGGCUGGCGUACCCCAGUGCCUACUCUAAACUCUAGCCUAGGGGCCUGGGCCGCUCUCUCCUAUUUAAUCCAACCACUUUGGUUACCUGCUCUCUUUGUACUUUUGGCCUCCUGGCUGCUGCACCUGGUCCCCUCUCACCUUCCCCUUCCCCUGUCCUCACAUGGCACAGCUCAGUCUGGCCGUGUCCACUCUGGGCUCUCCCAGGUGACCCUGCCUCUGGCUGAGCUCUCCCUAAGUCUAUAAUAAGCUUCUCCUCCACCAUGCCUAGGAGCAGUCAUGCUUUUCUUUUUCUUUUUCUUUUUUAAACCCCUUCACAAAGGUGAAGCAAAGGGGAGGACUGGGCUGCCCCAGGCCAGAAAGUUCUAGGAUAUAAAUCUCCCAAACCUGUAAUCUCUCCAACCCAGAAAACUUUGACUUAUGCAAAGCCCAGACUUCAUUUCUAGAACUUUCUGGAGAAUAUUGUACCCUUUGGGUACAAGCUACCCUUGAAAAAACAAAACAUUUUCGACUAAGGAAGCUCCUGAAGCCUCACCAGAAUAGGCGUGGCUGCCAUUCCAGGAUGGUGAUUAGAGAGACAUGGGAUGGCAAAAGGUAGAGGGAAGGACUAAUCACUGCUCCUGGGGAAGAACAAAGAAAGGGGACAAGUGACCCCCAAGUCUGUUUGUUUGUUUGAGCCUCUGGGGGAGAGGAAGCCCCACCCCUGGGCUGGAAAGUUCAGCAUAGAGGGCAAGGUAUGCCAGCCAUGCCCUGUAUGGCUGGGAAAACCUGGAGGCCAGGUUGGCUUUGGAAUGUUAAAUAGGCGCCUCAGCCACUUAAAAAAAAUAAAAUAAAAUCUCUGGGAGUCCCCUCCCUCUGAACAGCCUGAGCUCUUUUGGAGUGUCCCACUGCCUCAAAGCACAAGCCCCUCCGGAGCACUGCUGCCUCUUCACAGAAUACAUCAACAGACCAUUCUCUGUCUCUCCCUACUUUGGGUGUGAGAACUGGUUUUUGCUAUUUUACUAUUAAAAGUAUGUUGCCUGCCAAAGGCAAAUAUUCCAUAAAUCACCUACUCUCCGCCCCCCCCC